CCUGGCCGUAGGGGCAUGGUACGGCCUCGAAAUGCUGUUGGCCGUAUCGUACGACAUUUCCCUUUUGAGAAAUGUCGUACGGUACGGUCAAUGGCGUUUCGGGGCCGUACUGUACCGUACUAGCCUCGG
rnacentral:pre_miRNA from 1 species